CAAAAUCUACCCUUAGGUAAUCCUGGCCCAGCAGAGUCCUCUGGACCAUGCCUGAAUCUUUUGGCUAGCAUCAUCCAUUCUUGUGUGUCAGUAGGAGCUCAUGCCUCAUGGUUAUUUCUUCAAGAAAUCUGCCUGAGAAGGAGAGCAGCCUGGCCAGAACCUGACCAUAUGGAGAAGCCAAAAGAGGGAUCUCCAUUCAGUGUCGCAUACUCUGGAAGGUGAACCCUUUGUGAAGUCCAUCCCACCUCUGAGGAUAUUAUCAACAAUUACAGCUGUCAGAUGCAUUUGUCUUUGUGUCCUUCAAUCCCCCUCCCUAUCUGGAAUGAACUACU